GAAGAAUUAAAACCCUAGCUUUCUCCAUUGCUCCUGCCACACUAGUCCGAGCUCUGCUUUGCUCUUUGCGUGGCCGUCGCGAGAAUCGCCAGCAACCAUGUUGAAGGCAAAAACCCCCAAGAAAGGAAGGAUCAAGCGCGAGCUCGAAAAACGCGCUCCAAAACUUGUUGAAACUGGGAAGAAGACCCUGAUACUUCAAGGUACAAAGAUGAGUCGUGUAUUGAAUGCUGUUUUGGCAGAUUUGUAUCAUCUAAAGAGAGAGAGUGCCAUCAGAUAUACCCGCAAGAAUGAUAAUAUAAGGCCAUUUGAGAGCGGCGGCGAAUCUUCCUUGGAGUUCUUUUCUCAAAAAACGGACUGCAGCAUUUUUUUGUAUGGUUCCACCUCAAAGAAACGGCCCGACAAUCUUGUAAUAGGGCGAACCUAUGAUCACCACAUAUAUGAUCUUGUAGAAGUAGGGGUUGAAAAUUUUAAACCCAUAUCAUCAUUUACAUAUGACAAGAAAGUAGCUCCACAUGUGGGUUCUAAACCUUUCAUUGCUUUUCUUGGAGAAGGAUUUGAAAGUGUAGAUGAGUUGAAACAUUUGAAGGAGGUUUUGCUUGAUCUCCUGAGGGGAGAGGUGGUGGAAAACUUGAACCUUACUGGUUUGGACCGUGCAUAUGUAUGUACAGCUGUUUCUUCAAAUCGGGUAUUCCUUACUCAUUGUGCAAUACGGCUAAAAAAGUCUGGCACAAUAGUUCCUCAUGUUGAACUGGUAGAAGUUGGGCCUUCCAUGGAUUUGGUAGCUCGUCGUCAUCGUCUUCCUAAUGAAAGCCUAAGGAAAGAAGCCAUGAAAACAGCUAAAGAUCGGCCCAAGAAGAAGAUUAAAAAUGUUAGUGCAGAUGCCAUACAAGGGAAGGUUGGAAAGAUUUAUAUUCCUGAUCAGAAGAUUGGAGAUAUGGCACUACCUAACAAAUCAAAAGGAGUGAAGAGAGAGCGUCGAGAAGCAAAGAUGAAGAAUGGGAAUAAAGAGCGUGCUUCAAAAAAGCAGAAGGAAGAUUCUGAAUAAAUCAUUUUGACUUGCGG
rnacentral:misc_RNA from 1 species